ensembl:lncRNA
CAGAUGGCUAGCCUCUAGAGAAAGCAGAUAAUGCCAGUGAAACACCCUACACAGGCAAUAAAACUGAAGGCUAGCAGCACCCUGUGAGUAGCUGUCUAAUAUGCUGGGGCCAUGGUGAUGAGGCCGACCUUGAAAACCAGGUUGAGUAGUUCAAGGGGAGGUAGGAAACCAAGGGUAACAGUCUACUGGAGCCCUUCAGUACUGCGUAGAGGACUUUGGCCUUUUGUGCAAAUCCUGGAAUCCAGAUUCUGCAGAAGCCUCCUGCCCCCAAGAAUUCUCAACGGAGCAUAUUACCUUUUUCCACUCUGGUCCUAGAGUUCGGUGUCCCUUGGUGAUGUCAAAGUCCUUUGGUGGUGUCAAAGUACUGCACCUGCAGUCUUCUUUGGAGUUGUUGGCCAGGAGGAGGUCAUCAACAUAUUGCAGGAGGGUACACUUGAGAUCAGCCCAAGGGGAGACUGUAAGGUCUGAGGCCAGGGCUUCUCCGAAGAGGGUGGGUGAGUUUUUGAAGCCCUGAGGCAGUCUAGUCCAUGUCAGCUGAGUUUUUCUUCUAUCACUGGGAUCUUCCCAUUCAAAACCAAAGAUUGACUGGCUCACAGGGGCUAGCUGGAAAUAGAAGAAGGCAUCUUUAAGAUCCGGGCAAGCCGGGCAUGGUAGAGGCAGAGGCAAGAGGAUCACCUCGAGUUCGAGGCCAGCCUGGGCUACAUAGUGAGUUCAGAGCCAGCGUGGACUACAAAGCAAGACCCUGUCUCAAAAAAAAGAUCAAGGCAAGUAUACCAUGUAGCAUCCGGUGGGAGAUGGCUGAGUAACCUGUAAGGGUUGGAGACCACAGGAUGUAGUGUAGGGCCAGGGAUUUAGCUCAGUGGUGCUGUGCCGGCCUCACAAGCACAAGGUCCUGAGUUCAAUCCUCCAUACUGCAAAAAACCCACAUAAAACCAGGAUGUAGAGUAACAACUGCAUUGUUGACGGCCCUCAGUCCUGGACUGGCUGAUCUUCUCUAUUUGGCUUUUUCACCAGUAUGAGCAGGGUGUUCCACAGGGACUGGCAUUCAAUGGGUAUGCCAGCCUCACAGAGUUUCUGUAAAUGUCCUCUUAUGCCCACUCUAACCUCCUGGGACAUCAAGUAUUGUGACCCUGACAGGGGAGGCCCUGGGCUUUAGUUUGACCAUGAUGAGGAGGGCAGUUGAUGGCCAGACCUGGGGGAGAGUUUUCUCCCCAAACGUUGGGAAUCUCAGUCAGGAAACAGUCUGGAUUGGUUUCAGAGGAGACUUUCUGAUAGAACUACCAUUUUUCUUCUCAUGGGACAGUCACGGCCAUUAUCAGGCUAGUAGGGCUGGGAAGAGUAAGCUGAGCUGGUUGUUUAGAGGAGAAAGUUAUGGUUUCCCCCGAACUUUGUUAACAGGUCUUGCCCAAGCAACAGGACUGGACACUCAGGGAGAUAGAAGAAUUUGUGUGUAAUUUAGUGUCCUCUUAGUUGACAGGUUCUGGCUUGGCAAAAAGCUUUUACAAUUUGAUUCCCGGUAGCCCAAACAAUAGCUGUUUUUCUCUGGGUUGGGGGUGGCUACUGGAGUUGUCACAACAGAAUGUUCAGUGCCUGUGUCAAUCAAGAGUCAUUGGUUGGUCUUCUACUGUCAUUUGGAUCAUGGGUUCUCAGGGGCUGAGUUGGAAAGAGCCCAGUCUGUCCUAGUCUGUGUCCAUCCCUGCCAGACCAGUAAGGGCAGGGUCAGUGUGUGAUUCCAUGUGGGGCUUUGACUUUGGUCUUUUCCCAGGAGCUUGCCUCGGGUUUGGGCAUUCAUUUUUCCAGUGGCUGAAUUCCUUGCAGUAUACACAUUGGUCCUUAGUCUUUUAUAGAAGUCUCCUGGUGAUUUUUCUGGCUUUUGGAGGUUAGUGGUAGUCUUGGUCAUGUUUGUGGGCUUUUUGGCCCCCUCUCAGAGUCCAUGGAGUAGGGUCUUACGGUAUUGGUCCACCUGGCCUCAGCCCUCAGGUGUGGAAUAGUCCCAGUUGGUUUGGCCAUCAGGGACUGCUGCAUGUACCCAGGCAGUGUAGUUGGCAGAGGCAUUAGGGGCUUCACCUUCAGCCCAGCAUUGGGUUCUCAGUAGGAUGCAGCACUGCUCUUCAGUGUUGAAGAGAGUGAUGAGCAGCUGAUGGUAAUCCUCCCAGGUGGGCUGGUGGGUCUGGAAGAUGGUCUACAAGGUCAAUGAUGGCUUGGGGCUUCUCUGAGUAAGCUGGGUUGUGAUUCUUCCAAUUCAGGAGAUCUGAGGUUGAGAAGGGCUGGUAGCAGUAAAAGGGGCAUCCUGGCUGGAGACUUCCAUCUGGUUGAAUCUGAGGUGCACUUCGGGUCUCUCUGAGGGGCAGCUGCAUGGAAGGGCCCUGAGCAGAGUGGAGAUGAUGAGCCAGAGGGGUUUGCAGUGGGUCAGAGGCUGGCUGGGUGGUGGGCCUAGGGGACAGGUGUUCGAGCAGAGAAGCCAGAGGAGAGACUGAGGGUGACAGGGUGUCAGGCAGCUGGGGUACUGACAGAGUAGAAGGAGCAGCGUCAGAGUAUCACAGAGGCACCAGGGUGGGCCUUCCUAUGGAUCUCUUGGAUAAAUGGGCUUUUGACAGCCCAGAGGAGGGAUCUGACACAUCAGACAGAUUUUGCUCUUUCUGUUGGUGACAACACAGAAGUGGACCUAUAGGGGAAGGGUCAAGGCAAUUUGCAACCAGGAAUCUAUGUAGGGAAGCUGAUCAGUGUGGCCAGAGGGUCGUCUGAUGAUGUUCCAGAGCUGGUGAACAGUUUUGACUUUCAAGGUCCCUUCUAGGGGCCAAUCGGGAUCAAGUUUAGGCCAGUCUGUUUCACAGAAGGUUCUCGGCAGACGGUUUCAUCUUGAUCCCAUAGUCUCCAUCAAAGCCCUUUUAAAAAUUCCUCAACAGGGGUGGGGAUUUAGCUCAGUGGCACCACACUUGCCUUGAAAGUGCAAGGUCAUGAGUUCAAUCCCCGAUACGGCAAAAAAGAAAAAAAAAAUUCCUCAACAUACACUCCAGGACCAUAGGUUUUGA